UUGACGCUGGCGGCAGGCUUACACAUGCAAGUCGAGCGGAGAGAGGUAGCUUGCUACUGAUCUUAGCGGCGGACGGGUGAGUAAUGCUUAGGAAUCUGCCUAUUAGUGGGGGACAACAUUUCGAAAGGAAUGCUAAUACCGCAUACGUCCUACGGGAGAAAGCAGGGGAUCUUCGGACCUUGCGCUAAUAGAUGAGCCUAAGUCGGAUUAGCUAGUUGGUGGGGUAAAGGCCUACCAAGGCGACGAUCUGUAGCGGGUCUGAGAGGAUGAUCCGCCACACUGGGACUGAGACACGGCCCAGACUCCUACGGGAGGCAGCAGUGGGGAAUAUUGGACAAUGGGCGCAAGCCUGAUCCAGCCAUGCCGCGUGUGUGAAGAAGGCCUUAUGGUUGUAAAGCACUUUAAGCGAGGAGGAGGCUACUUUAGUUAAUACCUAGAGAUAGUGGACGUUACUCGCAGAAUAAGCACCGGUUAACUCUGUGCCAGCAGCCGCGGUAAUACAGA
rnacentral:rRNA from 1 species